rnacentral:rRNA from 1 species
GACGAACGCUGGCGGCGUGCCUAAUACAUGCAAGUCGAACGCAGUGGGGACGGGUGAGUAACACGUGGGUAACCUCCCCCUCAGAGGGGAUAACACUUGGAAACAGGUGCUAAACCGAUACUGAUGGAUGGACCCGCGGGGCAUUAGCUAGUUGGGGAGGUAACGGCUAACCAAGGCCACGAUGCCUCGCCGACCUGAGAGGGUGUGCGGCCACCCUGGGACUGCGACACGACCCGGACGCCUCCGGUAGGCAGCAGUAGGGAAUCUUCGGCAAUGGACGAAAGUCUGACCGAGCAACGCCGCGUGAGUGAAGAAGGUUUUCGGAUCGUAAAACUCUGUUGUUAGAGAAGCGGUAUCUAACCAGAAAGCCACGGCUAACUACGUGCCAGCAGCCGCGGUAAUAC